rnacentral:rRNA from 1 species
CGGCGGACGGGUGAGUAACACGUGGAUAACCUACCUAUAAGACUGGGAUAACUUCGGGAAACCGGAGCUAAUACCGGAUAAUAUAUUGAACCGCAUGGUUCAAUGUGAAAGACGGUUUUGCUGUCACUUAUAGAUGGAUCCGCGCCGCAUUAGCUAGUUGGUAAGGUAACGGCUUACCAAGGCAACGAUGCGUAGCCGACCUGAGGAGGGUGAUCGGCCACACUGGAACUGAGACACGGUCCAGACUCCUACGGGAGGCAGCAGGG